UUUGUUUUUGUAAAUGGGUCCUUCUAUUGACAGUUCAGUGGGCGGUCAAUAAAGAUUACAAAAUGACAAAAAAAAUUAAUUUUUAAUAUAUUUUAUAUAUUUUUUUAUACACUUUUUAUAUUUUUUUAUACACCAUUGACAACCCAUUAGACUGUUUUGAGUAUUUUUCUUUGUAAAUUAUGACCAAUUUCUUAUAUAAUAAGUGGCAGUUUUUUUUUUUUCAGUGAUGGGUUAUUGAAAGUUGGUUGAGGGCGUGUAAGAUUGUAAGUGGUAGGAAUGAAAUGGUGAUGGAGAGGGAGAGAGAGAGAGAGAGAGCAUUGAAUGCAAUGAAACUGCAUCUUCUAUGGGCAAAGGAGUAGGUGAAGGUAUUGAAUGAAAAGUUAAUGCAAAUUGAUAUUUUCGAGCUAGGAUUCCUGCACGCAUGUCCAUCAACCAUUUUAAAAAGUGGGACUAGAAAGUAAUUUCUCUAUGGUUUGGUUCAUAAUAACUAUAAGUUGAGUAUAACUCGUAUGGGUUGGUAUGAUGGUCUUCGGCUUCGGCCAACUUAUUUAUUUGCUAACUUUUAAUGUUUUGAGUUUGAAAUCUCUAAAGUGUUUUCAAUUUUUGAAUUGGGUUAAUUCGUUCAUACUGGACUUUGUUCAGACUUGAAUUGGCUUCCUUUUAGUGGAUGGUGGAUAUAUAAUUAGCCGAUAGUUGGAUCGAAUACUAAGUUAUUCAUAAAAAAUAACUUGAGUUGCCAAGUGCGUCAACUCGGAGGAGAUAAAAAGGCUUUUUCCUUUGCUUACUACAUACAAAUUAUGAUUCCCAAACAAUGCCUAGGCAAAUGCCACUUUCCCGAGUAGUUUUUUGUUUUGCUUUUGUUUUUCCUGGUUUGUUUCCUUUUCUCCAACCACAAUGUGCUGUGGAAAUGGCAUGUUAUUUCUUAAGGAGAAGGAUUUCCUGCAAACCAGUUAGGAGGAGAUUCCUGCUGCCCUUGUAUGGGUCAAUAUUGUAGGUUGUCCACGUCUUUACAUUGCACUUGCCCGCACGUGACCCAACGGAAUCACGUUUACUGUUAUCUUUUCCGUGUUUAAUAUCUUUGCUUUCCCUCCUAAUUUACUCUAUACAACCCUCAUCUUUCUUUACUUAGGCUCCGUUUGACACCAUCUUUUUUUCUGAUUUUUGACUUAAAAUAAGCAAAACAUCAUCGAGUUGGCUUUUUACUUUUUCUGUUUUAGCUUUUACUUAGUUUUAGCUAGAGUAAAUCCACAAAAGUAAAAAAAAGUAAAAAUUCCUUAGCCUUUUUUUAUAAGCAAUUUUUGCUAAUAUGCAAUGCAAUGCAUCUUUUUAUCUGACGUUUUUAUAUUAUUUAUUUUUUUAAAUUAUAAAAAUUCUAACGAGUACCCUACGAGGUAAGAGGAGGGUAUUUUCUUUUUUUUUUUUUACGUGUUAACACCAAAUUAACUAAGUAUUUGGGGAGUAUUUAUGGAAACUUGCAUUGGUUCUAGGUAUCUAUUUCCAUAUUGAUGAAGAGUACUAUUAAUCGAUAGAAAGAUACCAAAAGAAAUAUAAUAGUUAAAUGAUAAUUUUUUGGUUUUCAAAAAUGUAAUUUUUAGAAAUAAGCACAUUCUUGAAAAUUGUUGACUAAAACAAAAAAGAUUCUUCUGUGUUGUGGUUAGUUUAUAGUUCCAGAAAUAUGAGAUUUACGUGUUAGGCUCUGGGUUUUUUAUGGUACCAGCUUCUAAGGACUGACUUUUUAAAAUGAAACAUAAAAAGUGAAGUUAUAGUUGGGCUUUCUGAAUGGCUUUUGUUUUGUUUUAAUUUUUUUUAGUAAGUUAAAUAAAAAAAAAACAAAAAAUAUUUUUAAUAGCAAAUUUUAAAAAAAAUUGACUUUUAAAUAUUUUAAACCGGAGCCUUAGCAAACAAAGAUGAGGGUUGCAUAGAGUAAAUUAGGAGGGAAAACAAAGAUGUUGAACACGAAAAAGAUAACAGUAAACGUGAUUCCGUUGGGUCACGUAUGCGGCAAGUGCAUUGUAAGACGUAGGACAGCCUUACAACAUUGACACAUGCAAGGAUCUCCUGCCUAACAUUGACAAUAUCGAAAUUAUACGUUACGCCAUAUCACUUCUCUUAAAAUGAACUAUUCGUUCGCUUCUCCUCUCGGGAUAUAUAUGAAUUUAUGAUUAUUUAUAUAAAUUUUUUGUAUCGAAGGUUGUAGAAUUUGAGUCUCUCACUUGAAAACGGAACACCCAUUGUCACAAUUGAAAUAUUAGCAAACGGGUCAGCCUACCAUUCGGCUUAAGAAUUUUAUACAAAUGUUAAUUAUCUACCAUGUAUAAAUGGGUUUGGUUUGGGAUAUAUAUAAUCGCAUGGUAAGAGUAUCUUCGCUGCACACAUUAAAUGGUGUUUGGUAUUUAUCAAAAUGUUCAUUGCUAAAAAAGAAAAUUAACACUUUUAUUCUCAAAAAUAAAAAAAUAGAAAGCUCUAGUGUUGAAAACUACAUGAUUUUUUUAGUUAUCCAAAAUGUCUUACUUUACCUAUUAAAAAUAGAGUUUUUUUAUUAAAAAUAUCCAAUAUUGAUUUCAUUUAUUUUUAAAUGAAAUCAAUAUUGGAUAUUUUUAAUAAAAAUUAAAAUAAUGAUAAUUCAAGAUUUUAAAGAGAAGGAUAUAUAAUGAGGAGUUUUUUUUUAUAUAUUAUUAAGCUAAAAGUAAAAAAAAUAAUAAUAGUUUAGAUUUUAUCAAAUAAUUUUUAAACUUAAAAAAUAAAAGCUUUUCUUAAUGCUGAAGGGCCCUUUAGACAUCCAAAACCAUUUAAGAACCUCCGGGCAUAUUUCAAUGAGUGCAGUUCCUCCUGUUACGUCUUCAUUCGCAUACAUACUCAACCCAUUGCCAUUCUAGCUUUAAAUGGACCAGGCAAACCUACAUGUUCUGUUUGGUCAAUGCUGAUCCGAAAAGAAGUUAGAUGUAGGGUCAUUUUAGUCAUUGUACCUCUGAGCUCUCUCAUCCAUCUCUGCUUCACUGACACAAACUACUCUUCAAAGGACGCGUAACAUGAUGGGUGGUGGCGUGAUAUAGAGAUAAAGAGAGACUGGCGUGAGAUGAAGUGAAUAAAGUAAUAUUUUGGAAAGAAAAAAAUAAUUUAAAGUAAAAUUUGAGUAGUUGGAUUAACUAAAAUGAAUUACAAUCAUAUAUAUCUAAAAAUAGAUUUAAAAUUCAAACGUAGUUGUGAUUUGUAUUAUAGACAAUGGGACAAGUUUUUUUUUCCAAAUCUUUGUAACUCAUGGUUCUAGUCAAAAUAAUUGUGUAUCUUUCUACCACGUUCUACCAAAAAACUCCUUUCACGUGUCUCCUGAACCGCAUUUUUUAGGAACUAUUUAGUACUUCUUGGUUACAUCAUUUGCACCCAUUGAUCAAUUUUUAGGGCGCGAUUUUGAUUUUUAACCAAUUUUGGAUUUGACUAGCUCUAUUAAACUGUUGGGGAUAAUAUGUAAUAGGGAGACGAAGUUUUGGCAAUGGUCAAAAUCACAAAAUAAUUAGAAAACAAUACAUGAGAUUUAAACGCACAAACUUUGCUUCAGAGUAUAGACUAUUAACUACUGACUUAAGAAAAAAGUUUAUUUGUAAUAUUAACAUUUUAUAUUAAUUUUUCAAAAAAAAUCCAAUAAUAUUUAUAUGCAAAAUAAUAUUUAGUUUUUUUUAAAAAAGAAAAAAUAUUUUAAAAUAAAGAACGAAAAAAUCAAAACAACUAAAAAUUCUAAAAAAAUAGAAUUCUUAGUACCCUCAAAAUGAGUUUCUUCUGUUUUGACAUAUUGAUUUGUUCACUGAAAGACCUUUCCUACUUCUUGAACUUUUCUGAUGGGGUUCUGCGGCUUCUGCCGUAUGUAAUCAUGAUUCCUCUUAAGCUCGCAGCAUCAUUACCGGUCUUUCUUUCUCUCUCAAUUUACAUGACAGUUCAGAGUAAAAAAUUGCCUGGUUGUACAUAAAAUUCGAUUCAACGGUUCAAUAAAAUAUCGACCAAUUUUUCUGAUUCAAUUCGAUUGAAAAAAACUAAUGAAAAAAACUGAUUAAAAAAAAUAACACAACUGAUUACAAAAAAAACUCAUGAAAAGAAGAAGAAAAAAAAACAAAAAAAUACCAAAAAUGAAGAGAAAAAAGCAUAAAAAAAUUAACAAAAAAAGAUGAAAAAAAAGGAAAACAUAGAACCGGGGUAUUUGGUAUUGGAGAAAAAGGCGCUUGGAAAAAAAUCAUUAUGACGGGGGGUAUAAUAGUUCACAAGCACGGGUAGACAGGAGACCAGGCGAGGAGGUGGUGUGUGUCUCGUGUGGGGGGGGGAGGGAGGGAUUAGCAAUUUUCACGUUCUAGUAGAAAAAAGAGAGCCACUUUUCGCGUCCUACCUCCCUGUGUCAGAUCCUCCGUGACCCCACUUCCGAUAUACCCUUGUUGCCCCUCCCUUCUUUUUUUCUUCCCCAGCCCCCCGCUCUAUCUCUCUCUCUCAUCUUUUUUUUUUCAUUGAGAUUUGUGUUUUUUUUUUUUUUAUUAGUAUUUUUAUCAAAUUGUUUAAUAUAUAUUUUUGAUUUGUUUUUUAUUUUUUGAAUAUUGUGUAUUUUUUAAGUUUUUUCAUUAAUUUUGUGUAUUUUUUAUUUUUUUUUCAGUUUUGUAUAAACCUUUUUUUUUAUUUAUUAGUUUUGGUUUUCUUUUUUGAACUAAAAAUAAAAAAAAUAAAAAAUUUAAAACAGUAAAACGACUCAAUAAAAAAAACUAGCCAAAAUAUGGCCGUAAUAUCAUAUUAGUUAUAUUUUUAGUUUAUUCUUGACAACAUAUAUCUGAAAAUAUAAAAUUAUUUUACCUAUUUACAAAAAAAUUAAACAAAAAAUUAGUUGAAUGGGGGGUCCUUUUUUCCACAUCACAAUUAAUCCGAAACACCUACACAAAUAAAAUAAAAAAAAUAAACUGAUAAAGAAAUAAAAAAACAAUAAAAGAAAAGAAAGAAACUAAAAAAACAAUUUUUUAUUAGUUUUAUAA
rnacentral:lncRNA from 1 species